UAAAGGGCCGCGGUAUAUUGACCGUGCGAAGGUAGCAUAAUCAUUAGUUUUUUAAUUAAAGGCUAGAAUGAAUGGUUGGACAAAAGGUAGUCUGUCUCUAUAUUAUAUUUAAAAUUUGAUUUUUAAGUGAAAAAGCUUAAAUAAAAUAAAGUGACGAUAAGACCCUAUAAAGUUUUACAUUUAAUUAUAAAUAAUGUAAAAAUUAACUAUAAAUAUAAUAUAAAAUAAAUGUUAUGUUGGGGCGACAAAAAUAUAAAAUUUAACUGUUUAUAAAUUAUAUCUAAGAUAUUAGGAUUUAAUUAGUAAUUGAUCCUUAUUUUAAAGAUUAAAAGAUAAAAUUACUUUAGGGAUAACAGCGUAAUUUUUUUUGAGAGUUCAUAUCGACAAAAAUAGUUGCGACCUCGAUGUUGAAUUAAAAUUUCUUUGUGGUGUAGUUGUUACGUAA
rnacentral:rRNA from 1 species